rfam:Oryza barthii chromosome 5, whole genome shotgun sequence.
AAAAAGAUAAAUUCUGGGUUUCCGUGUCAAACUUUGACUGUCCGUCUUAUAUGAAAUUUUUUUAUAAUUCGUAUUUUCAUUGUUGUUAAAUGAUAAAACAUGAUUAAUAUUUUAUGCGUGACUUGUCUUUUUUUUUCAUAAUUUUUUUAAAUAAGACGGACGGUCAAACAUUGGGCACGGAAAUCAGGGUUUGUCUUUUU